UCGCUCGAUGAUGGAAGGCUUUCAGGCUCCCGGAGACUAGUACGAGAGGGGGGAGAAAGGUAUUUCAUUUGGAGAUCAUUUGCAUAUUUUAUGAGGAGACAUCGAGCGUGCGCCCGCUGCCUGGGCACGGGUGUGAGUUUGACGGAUGUGACUGCGGAGGUGCGGAGGUGUGGAGGGACUGGGAGAGAAGGAACAGAGGGCACAUGUCACAACGUCGCCUGUUUCCCUACUCAGCAGACAGGGGAGUGCCGAGUUGUCACGUCAGGAAAACGCGCCCCGAUAUCCACUGACUCAAAGAUUAGGCGUGGCAGGUCUCUUAUCAGUGACUGCAUCUGAACAGAAAGGUUACUAGAUUGAAUCCGAGAGCCUGCCAAAUGAAAAUUCAAGGCUUGAAGAAACAACAAAAUGAAACGUCUUGAAGAGAAAACAUAAGGAAGUCCGGAAACGGUUUUGUGGGAUUUGCAUGAGCCGUAUCCUUAAUUAGUCAUAGAAGGAAUAGGAAGAAAGUCUCCUUAUCUGUGGUUGGUUGAGAACCCAGGAGAGUUGGAGUCAGUGCUUAGUGACAUAGUCUGAAGUCUGAUGAUGCUCCGACUCCCCAAGCACAAAGAUGCUCCCUUCCUCUCGAUUCCUCUCCCCUCUCUACAGUCAAUUACAAAACCUCUCCGAUGGUACAAAAACGAGGGAAAUUUAAGCAUCUCUUAACAACUUCCUGUAAUUGCAAUUUAUUGAGAAGGAAACUGAGGAUAAAGAUUUUGAAAUGACAAGCUAUUAUGCAGCAGAGAGUGAGGAGAGGCUAAGGGACGGCUUGGGUAUCAGUCUCUUUAUGUUAGCUAAAGAGUCUGGUACUCAAACUAGGUGGGGGAAGGCUUCAUAAAAUACAGCUGACAAGCUCAGGAAAAUUAGCCCAGGACCAUUUCCAAAAUCACUUAAUUGCCAGCCAUUCUGUCAGGUCAAUUGACUCUAAUUGAAAAAACAACAAAAAAGCGUAUAAUGCUGGAAGAAGCAGGCACAGAGAACAGGUUGAGCAUUCAGCAAACAGACAAUAAUUUUUAAAUUUCGACCAACAAACCUAUGCAUGUGGCAAAACUGAUGUUUUUUUUUUACUCCAAUAUGCAAUCAGUGCAUUUCCCACUCUCUAACAUUUUUCCUGUUUUAUUAUGAUAAUUGUUAUAAUUGUUGUUUGGAUUGUUAUUAUUAUUAUUUUCAGUAGUAGGAGUCUUAGU